AACGUAGGGGGCGAGCGUUGCCCGGAUUCACUGGGCGUAAAGCGGGUGUAGGCGGUUCAUUAAGUCGGAUGUGAAAUCUCACGGCCCAACCGUGGAAUUGCAUCCGAUACUGGUGGACUUGAGGACGGUAGAGGCAGGUGGAAUUCCCGGUGUACCGGUGAAAUGGGCAGAUAUCGGGAGGAACACCAGUGGCGAAGGCGGCCUGCUGGGCCGAUCCUGACGCUGAGGCGCGAAAGCCAGGGGAGCAAACGGG
rnacentral:rRNA from 1 species